rnacentral:rRNA from 1 species
GACGAACCGUGCGAACGUUGUUCGGAAUCACUGGGCUUAAAGGGCGCGUAGGCGGGCUGUCAAGUCUGGGGUGAAAUGCCGCGGCUCAACCGUGGAACUGCCUCAGAUACUGACGGCCUCGAGGGAGGUAGGGGCGUGCGGAACUGUAGGUGGAGCGGUGAAAUGCGUUGAUAUCUACAGGAACUCCGGUGGCGAAAGCGGCGCGCUGGACCAUAACUGACGCUGAGGCGCGAAAGCUAGGGAGCAAACGGGG